GCAGUGCUGCAGACCCAAGCCCUGGGGAUCUCCACUGUGCUCACACUUAGCACGUCCUUGCUGAGUCAUCCUGGGCUCUGCUCUUAGGUAUGGAUGAGGGCUCCUGCUCUGUCUCCAGCCCCCUCAGCAAUGCGGCUGGAAACAGACGUUCUAAAUGCUGCAGAAAGGAACGCACAAGCAGCAAGGCUAUUUAUCUUUGCAAAAAUGAAAUUAACCGGGCUAGCAAGUCCUCGAGGGCCAGAAGCUCACUUCGAGUGUAUCCUAAGGCAGGUGGUGACUGUGUCUUUUUUCCUAUUGCCUGGGGUCACCUCAUAGUCUUUUCCUGAUUCAGCCUGAUUCAGUUUAAAAAGAUUCAGCUUGGAGUAAAUGAAAGGGAGAGGGUGAGGUGUCAGCUGCUGCAGAUCACGUUUGGGAACUGGAGGAGGGCAGGGCCUUUGUGGAAAGAAAAGCUUUACCAGGUAGAGGAAAGUAAAAGGUUUGAAUUUCUUUACACAAAAGUUUUAGAGGGUGUGAGAUAUACAGAAUAUUGGCCUUUGGUGACGAAUUUUUUUCCUUGUUCACCCACCUGAAGUAAGCUGACUUGGAUGAAGGAAGACCGUCUCCUCCCUGCGGCUGAAGAAACAUUACCAACAUGGCUGACUGGAUUCCUUUUGAGUGUUUUUUGUUUGUUUCAAUAUUUUUGAGAUGUUUGUUAUGUUUUAUGUGCUUGCCUGAACGAGUGUCUGUCCCUGUACCACACAUGCAGUGCCUGUGGAGGCCCAGAAGAGGUCAUCAGACACCCUAGGAUUGGAGUUGCAGACGGUUGUCAGCUGCCCUGUGGGUGCUAGGAACUGAACCCAGGUCCUCUAGAGGAACAGUAAGUGCUCUUAACUGCUGAGCCAUCUCUCCAGCAAUGCCCACCGCUAACCCCUGCUGCCUCUCCCCCCCCCCCCCACUUCUUUUUAAGAUUUAUUUAUUAUUAUAUGUAAGUACACUGUAGCUGUCUUUAGACACACCAGAAGAGGGCAUCAGAUCUCAUUA
rnacentral:lncRNA from 1 species